rnacentral:rRNA from 1 species
UCACGCCGGUCUAAACUCAGAUCAUGUAAAAUUUUAAAGGUCGAACAGACCUAUAUUUUCAGCUGCUACACCAAAAAUUAAUUUUAAUCCAACAUCGAGGUCGCAAACUUUUCUUUCGAUUAGAACUCUCAAAAAAUAUUACGCUGUUAUCCCUAAGGUAAUUUUUUCUUUUAAUCAUAAAAUAUGGAUCAAAUAAUCAUAUAUUAAUGUCUUUAAUUAAAAAAAGUUAACUAAAUUUUUCAAUCACCCCAAUUAAAUAUAAUUUAAAAUUAAAAAUUUAUAUACCAAUAAAUAUUAAUAUUAAUAUUUAUAUAAAACUCUAUAGGGUCUUCUCGUCUUUUAAAAUAAUUUAAGCUUUUUAACUAAAUAAUAAAUUUUUAAUUUAAUUUAAAUAGAGACAGUUAUUUUCUCAUCCAACCAUUCAUUCUAGCUUCUAAUUAAGAAACUAUUGAUUAUGCUACCUUAGCACAGUCAAAAUACCGCGGCCAUUCAAUAUUAUCAGUGGGCAGGCUAAACCUAAAAUUAAAAUUCAAUAAGACAUGUUUUUAAUAAACAGGUGAAAAAUUAAUUUGCCGAGUUCCUUUACUUAACCUAAAAAUUUAAAAUUAAUUUUACAUUAAAAUUAUACUAAUUUUAUCAUUAUUACUUAAUAAAAAAAAUUAAAACUAAAAUUUUAAUAAAAAAAUUAUAAAAAAUAAAAAUUAAAUUUUAAAAAAAAUAAAUUAUAACAUUUUAUUAAUAAUAGAUACUUCUAAUCUUAUAACUUCUUUUAACUUUUACUAUCUAAUAAUUUUCUAUUUUUAAGCUUAUCCCUAAAAAUAUUAAAUAUCAAUAUUAAAAAAAUUAAAAAAUUAAAUUUUUAAUAAAUAAUAUUCUAAAUUAAAUUUUUUUCUUAAAAAACUAGAUAUAUUUAAAAACGAUUAACAUUUAAUUACAAAAAACUUAUUAAUAAUAUUUUUAAAACAAUAAAAAAUAUAAGUUCUUAGCUCUUUUAAAUUCGAGAUAAUAAAAUAUUUCAAAUUAAUUAAUAAACCCUGACACACAAGGUACAAAAAUUUAAAUCUUCUUAUAAUCAAUUAAAUAAAUUCUCUCACAAUACUUAUAAACUAUCAUAAAAACCUAUUUUUUCUUUAUAAAUAAUAAAAAAAAAAUUACUUAUAAUAAAAUAAAAUUAAAUAUUAAUUAUAAUAAUUUAUUAAUU